ACAGAAAGCAACUGGGCGAGAAAAGCAAGUUGAAGCUGAAGCUGAAGCUGAAGCUGAAGCUGUAUUUGAAAAUAGCUGCUACUCCCUGUGCUGCGUCCUUUGAAUGAGUUUCCUGUUCCGGUUUUCCUUCUUCAUCUGCUGCUCGUCUCUCCAAUUCUAAGAAAAGAGGGUUUUUAUUCUGGUACUCGCUUUCCCCCAUUCAACCCACAAUUAACGUUUAAAUAAUUGGACUUGCUUUCUCAGUUCCAAGCGUAAAUGUUUUUGUAUGAAUCUUGCCUGAAUUUUCUUUCAGAUACUGGAUAAUGAAUAUUAGCAUAAGGAUUUGUUUAUUUCUUUUUAAGAAAUUAUUUGAUAGGAUCUUGAAGUUAGACGGAAUGCUGAACUACUGGAUUCGAUGGAGCUCUUUGGUUUAUGACUGCGCUACUGCUAUGGAAUCUUCUACUCUUGUUCUAGAGACUAGACUCCGCGGCGCAUUCAUCAAUAGGUAGGCUAAUGUAAUUGAACUUUAAACUAAGUUUCGGAUUUGGGAUUAAUAAUCCUCGAACUUUCCUCAUAGAAUUCGAUCCAUAUGAUGAGGAACGAGUAUCCAGACCAUUCCACAGAACAUUAAUUGAGAAGGUCACUUUCUAUGCCAUUUCAUAAAUUUGCCCUUUAGUUUCCAACCUCAAAUAUGAGUAGAGAAACAAGAGACCAACUAAAAUAUACUUUUGGGAGUAACACUAGAGGGACUAUCUUUGGGCAUGUUCCUAAUGGUGACAUACCAAGUUAAGCAAGACAAAUUUCAUUUCUGCAACCAAUGAUUAAAAUCUUGAGUUGGUGAGAUUUGGAAAAUAAUUGCAGACAAGUUAGACUGAAUUUGUAGAAAGCACUUUCUAGCAACAGAGGCAGGUUUCUAGCAACUAACAUGCUGGACUUGUAAGAUAUUUUUAUCAAAUAACAGAAUUCAGCAGAUUUGAUCAAAUUGAUUUCAAGUCCUAAAUAAGCCAUAGAAGCAAGAGGAAAUUUCAGAAUAUAUCAUUUAUUGGGCCUUCAAAGCUUCCACUCAACAACUGUAGGGCUUAUGGUUCAAUCCAAAAGGUACUAUUAGUUGAGUAUCCCAAGCCUUAAAUUCCCAUUAUCUACCCUGAGUCAUGGUCAUUGACUUCGGCAGACUCGUUCUAAUCUAAGAGAAUUCAAUAAAAUGAGGAAAAUAUGGUUGUAUAAUAAAGUUCCAAAUUUGAACAAUAUAGCAUAAUAGACUAGCGAUCUUCUCUUGUAUUAAUAUGGUUGUAUAAUAAAGUUCCUGCUUUAGUUUUGAAAAUUGAAAAAAAGAAAAAAAAAAUUACUCGUAGGUAAACCGCAUUGGUUCACUGGGUUAUUAGAAAGUCGGUCAGUUUAUUCAGAUGUCUACCGGUUCAGCAAUUAAUUAUUGGAAUAUACUAACUCAACUGGACCGAGGCUGUCUCAUCUGAAUAUUUACCUGUUCAACUGUUAGCGAUUGAAAUAUAUGAGAGUCUGGUUUGUUGGGUUUGUCCAAUCCAAUUCGAGUUUAAUAACUAUGUGUACAAGACUCGUUAAAAUAAAACUACACGACCCUUAUAUUUUGACCUUAUAAUAUUGAUUUGCUAGGUUAACCUUUUCUUUUUUUCAGUUUUGUGCAAUACUCGUUGAUGAAAUAAAUAGAAUAAUUUUUUCUUCUAUUUUGACUUCAUAACUUUAGGUUUCUUGGAGGGACUGAAGAACAGAAAAAAAAAAUGACUAUUUCCGAUUCUACAGGAUAUGCAUGACGAUAAUUGUUUUCCCCAUUCUAAUUUGACUAGUAAAAGAGGCAUUCUCUUUUCUCCACAGUUGCCUCUCAUGGAUCGCUUUGCGUGGAAUCUGGAAUAGAAACAUUCACCACUAAAAGGAAAAAUGGUUUUUGCUGAAAUACUGAAAAUGGUAAUACAUAUAAUUCAUUUUCCUCUUCUCCAUUCCCUAAAGAAUAAAUAAAUAGAAUCUUCUUUUUCCAAUCUUUGGAAUUGAUGUGUGCUUUAUUUUUUUCUGACCAGGUUUUUACUUGAUGACUUGCGUAUUUUUACUUUAAAUAAUUCUAUUUAUUGUUGGACCGAAUUAUGAUUAAAUUAUUUUUCAUUUUCUGGAAUAACUUGUUAUGCUUUUUCUUGCUGACAAAAUGAUGGAGGUUAAUGGGACAACAAUUCAAUUUCUGAUAUUAUUCGGUAAUUAAUGGGGUGUAGGUGUAUCUUAGGAUAAAAAGAUAUCUUAUUAAUAUAGAAAUCUUGCAUCCCUCAUUUAUUCAUUCUCUGGCAACUCUGCCUUUCUGCCUAGGAGGAACACAUUGUUUUGAUGAUAGACAAAUGCCUUAAUUAUAUAUACUUUCCCAAUACCCCGUCAUGUCGUCAACCAGAAUUUUAGCUAUUUCGUCGGGAGGUUCCAUAGUCCAGCGUUGUAUCUCUGUUUCAUUAGUUGCCAUUUCUGCUAUUUUCGCUGCCGCCCUGUUGGCAUAUGCCGCUACAGGGUGAAAUUUCACCAGUUUAAAUUGUCGUAAAAGUUUACGGCAUUUAUGGACGAUGGGUCUUAUCGAGGGCGCAAGUGGUGCCUCGUCAUCAAUAACCAGCUCCAUUGCAUAUGGCGAAUGUCCCUCAACCUCAAGGUAAUCAAUGCCUUGUACUACUGCUUCUUGUAGACCCAAAUUAAGAGCUACAAGUUUCGCUUCGAUGUGGCUGAAAUCAUUUGGCAAUGGCUCUGCACGAGCGGCUUUGAAGAUGCCAUGAUGCUCGCGAAGGACAUAACCAGCUCCUCCAUGCCUCAGCCCAUUAGGGGCACAGGCAGAGAAAUUUAGCUUCCACGCAUCUUCCACUGGUGUUGUCCAGGCAAUGGUAUGUAUCACUAGAAUAGAGCUGCGAAAGUAAUGAUAUCGGCGAGGUUUGGGUUCAUAGCCUAGACUUAUGGUUCCCAUUGUUGACAUUGUUCAAUUGUGCAAUAAGGUAAAAGUUGUUGUAUAGAGACUGUUUGGUUUAUACAUGAAGCACUAUUCACUAUUUAUAGGAAAUAAUUAGUAAUCGCAUUCUGCUCUAGAAAUUAGGGUCAAAAGGUAUAUACGGUAAUCUAUAACGGCUAGUUCGUGGUCAAUAAUUUGUAAAAGUUUCCCAACGGUAACAUAACGGGUAAAUUAUUAAUAACCUUCAGUGGUGAUUGAUGGCACUAAAAUUUAAAUUUUCCAGUAAGGCACAUUAUUAUACAACUCAUUUGGAAACAGCUGUAGUAUUAAUGAAGGCUUGUUGUAUUAGAUUUUUUUAGUUCACGAAGAAUUUGAAUUUCAAGCUUUCUCUGCUUGGGCUUGAAAGAAGGAUACGAAGAUGCUGCAAGAUUAUGCCUUGAUUACCUUCCUUUUAUUUUUCUUUUUCGUGUCCUUAUAUCUCAUACUUUAUAGAGUGCAGGCAUUAACAAUCUUUUGACUGGUUAUUUUGUAAUCCACCCUUAAAGACAUCCUUUCUGCUACUUUGCGAAAAGUUCAAUUUAGAUACAGGACUAUUACUACUGCAUUUAGAUUAUACGCGUAUUAAAGAGUAAUCUGUUAAAAUUGAUGGUUUAUAUAAUGUCUGCUUAUCCAUCUUUAUUGUUAAUCUGUAGGCAGAUAAAUCGUCUUAUGCCUAACCUCAACUUAACUAGAGGCUUAUUCCAUACUUGUCUAGCGACUACAUACAUCCUCUUCUUCUAUUCUACUUUAUCAAGUGCCCGAGGUUGACACAAGAGGGUCCAACAUGUGAGAUUCUAUCAAAUGGGCUUUACAAAGAACUACUAUGCAUUUGUCAUUACUUCGUGAAAAUGGUUAAUCGAAGUUGGUAGGGAAACCUAUUACAUGGUUUGGACAAAAAUUAAAUUGUAUUCCAUAAUAGUGUUGGAUACUUGUAAACAAGUAAUCCACUACACCAAGUCAAGUACUUUUUAAUUACUUCAUUUCACUUACUUUUAGAUCGAACUUUUACUUUACAAUCGAUACUAGUUUAACCUUGUUUUGGUUGCCUUUGUGAACUGUCUAACUAUCUCGAGUGUAGAUGUUUGUCUUUGUCUAUCUGACCUUAAUUCAACUCUUGAAUAUGCUAAUUUCUGACAAGGAUCUGGAUUAUCAAAGGGUAUUUACUUUGGUAGUGAAGAAUAAUAAGAAUGUAAACGUAGGCUUUCAAAAGGCCUACUAUCUCGACGCAACUCACUCUUAUUUUUUUUCUCAAUGCAUCCACAGACUCCCUACCCUUUAUUUAUUUGGUAUGCAGUAUAUUUUCCCAAAACUUCCCUUCUCUUUUCUUGAUGCUUCUUUCAUGCUUCCCUCCAUUUUCCUUGUUUCUUCCCUCCUCUUUCCUUGCUUGUUGAUUCUCUCCUGCUUCCAUUCUCUUUCCUUGCUGAUUCCAUCCACUUUCUUUACUUGUUGCUUCCCCUCACUUUCAUUGCUUGCUUCUUCCCUUCACUUUCCUAGCAUCACAUAUGUCCAAAGGGUUUAUCGCUAUUCCAUCACCAAAAAUCCUCAUUUCCUCAAGGUGAAGCAGUUUUGCUAAUCAGGUGGUUUUGAAGGGGUCGAUUAUCCUUGUAUAUAUGGGCUGGCAUUUUUCCCUGACUGGGCUCUGGUGUACAAAUGCCUGUGAGGAAAUUGGUUCGGUUCUCAACUUGCAGGGCCAUUUCCAUCAUAUUAUGCUUCUGCAGUCAACAAGGACCGUCACAUCCUUAAGAGCAAUAUGUCCCUGAGUGUUUGCAGAUUUGUCAUCCCCACCAUGGAAUUAAGCAAGAGUUCCUCCAUCGCCAUACCACUGAGCUCAUCCUUAUCUUCUAAUUUAUCUUCCCUCAUAAUAUUCUUGGAGAAAUCUGCUCAACCUGAAUAUUCAGACAUUAGGAUCUUAAUUAUUGUGCUGGUAUGUCCAAUCGCCUGGGUUCAAAUCAUGAUGCUUCCUUGCAACUCCCUCCCUCUCCAGUAAUGUCUCAGUGUGCAUUGGUGGAAAAUUGCAUUGCAACCUGUUUAAUUUCUGGAGAUAUCCUCUUAUAGAUGCUGAUGCCCUCUGGAUUUUGUUGCAAAUUCAUCUGUCCUUCCCUCUACGGUACCGAGUUCUUCUUCCUUAUCUUUUCUGCUAUUUACCCAGGUUAAAUGCUCUGAUACCACUUGGAUCUGAAUUUUUUCCAUUUUUUCCUGCUAGUGAAGUUGGAACUUUUCUGCAGCAGACAAGGAGCAACAGACCUACCACACGUGAUUUUUGAUCUUUUCUUUCUUUUAUAUUUUUCUCGUUGUCUAAUAGUUUCUUUUCUUUUCUCUUGAUUUAUUUUCUUUUAAUUCAAAUAAUCGAAAUUCUUGAAUAAGUACUUAGUUUUUCCAUUUGUUUUAACAAAUUGCAAUUAGAUUUUUAGGUUUCUUAAAUGUUUUAUUAUGAAUUGUUUAGAUAAUGCUUGGUUUAUUAUGUGUCCAAUUGUGCUUUUUUUUUUUUUUGGGAAAAACUGAAUCGUUUAAUUGAUUUAUGUUGGCCCAUGUGAUUACUUGUGUUACGAGGUAAAAUGCCAUUAUAUUAGUUUAACCUUUUUAAAUAGUAAUUUCAAGAUCUUUAACAUCUAGUAUCACUCAAGAAAUGUUUUCGUAUUCAAGUAAUGCAUUUCACGGUGUUUGAUGUGACUUUAAUGUUUAAGAUAAUCUCUUCAAAACUCUAACUACUCAUUCAUACUCUUGCAUAUUUGUAGACACGUAUAAUUUGUAUAUACAUUUAUAUACUCACACACGUCCACUUGUGUGUUUUACACAUACAAUACAUCUACAUGCACAUACACUCUUAAACAUAAAUGUCACCUUAUAUAUACUAGCACUAAAUGCUUAAAAGACAUCAUAUAGCAGAGCGGUUUGGCCAUGUAAUGAGCUGAUUCCUGAUUUCAUUGGUACAUGAAAUACUGUCAAGGUUCAGCGGCUUCGAAACUGAAAAUGGACCCAGAAUUAGUCCUGGAGUUAGUUUAUGUAAGGGAACUGUUUCACUCUCUUGGUUUGGGGUUUUCUUUUCUUACUGGGCAAAGAAGCCAAUUGGGCUGUCUGAUAUUACAUGUUCGAGGAUUGAAAGAAGUUAAGGAAUAAUAGAAAGGAUGUAGAAGAAAGAAAUCUUAGUUACUCACAUUUUCAUAAUAGUUUCAAGGUUUGAAGUGUCUCUCAUUAUUGGUAAUUGGUUGAUAUUUUACAAGAUAUCUGAAUUGUAUAUAGAGAUUUGUUAUACUCCUAGUUUCUUGUAAGACCUUUUCUCUCCUUUCCUGAAACCUGAAUACGUUGUGUUUUUGUCUUGUGCACGAUUUCCUGGAAGUGACUCACCAUCUUUUGUAAUCUUAUUGAUUUUUCCUUUCUCAAGUUUGUCUUGGUACAUUAAUGAAAACAAGCAAUCUAGAGCAGAGAGGUUUGAGUUUAUAAUACUAUUGGUGACCACUGGAAUUAGCUUGCCUGAAGCUCUUGAAGUUACUUAUAGACUGCAGCUUCAUGGAGGGUCGAAGGCCGAUGAUUUGAAUGAACUCGAUUUUACGCAAUUUCAGGCGAGGAUGUGGAACAUUCCUGGUCAUUGGAGGCCCUGCAUGAUGUUGAGGUCAAUGAUGUGGACGUGAUUAGUGCCAUUGAAGGACUACCGAAUGGCAUGGUUGGCUGUGAAAUGCAAUAAUCCGUACUCUCUUAAAAAGGCAAAAGAGAACUCCCUGCAAAUUCAAUCGACGACUAUGGUCGAGGAACAGAAUAUCGUAGGUGUGAUAGAGGUGAAGGUAAUAGUCGGGGAGAGAGGCGGUGGAUGAUGCCAGCCAAUCGUGGCGAUAUUGCUGGAGAACAGGACUUGAUGAUGGUGCUAACGACCUCUAUAGCGUUGCUCAUUGGGUGUGUCGUGAUUCUCAUGAGGCGCUGUGUUGUGGGAUCGGCCAAGAAGGUGGUGGUGCCGCCAUCGAAAUCGAUGGUGUGCAAGGCUGUGGUGGAGCUGGAGUAAGUGGAUGAUGAAAAGAAGAAAAUCAACAUUUUUAUGGGACCCAAACUGGCACUUGCUGAGGAAGCUAAAGCUAGAUAUGAGAAAGCCAAGUUUAAAGUGAGAGAUAUGAUAUGGUGAUGGUGAGCCUAUCAACAAAGCGGCAAUGUUCUAAAAAUGGUUUAUGGAGGAAAAAGAUAGAAGGGAUUAGCUUAAGAAUCUUUAGUGCGGAGUAUUUGGCCUCAGAAACAGGCAAUAUGAGCAUUUGCCUAUUUCAACCCCAUUAUUGAAAAAUUAAUAAUUUUUCAAACUCAUUUUUAACCAUACACUCUCAACAAAAUAAUUUGCACAUAAACCCAAUUGUUUUUCUACUUUUUAACCACAUGUUCCCAAAAAAUCACUGUCACACUGUGUAUUCUUUGGUAAAAAAGGGGGCUCAAACAAAGGCUAAUUAUUUAAGAAUUACAAAAUUGUAAAAUGCAACCUUUAAAUGUAACUGUUGUCUAAUAUAUUGUAUUUAAUCAUUUACUUUCUUCGAUAUCAUCAAAAAAUUUCAAAACCAUACAUGCAUGUUUAUUGAAGUUAAAGGGAUACUUCGGAGACAGAAUAAGGUUUCCUAAUACUUUGCAUGUUUGAUGACCAUAUACUCAUUUAUUCAAAGAAUAAGAUCUCCUUUUUCUUUAUUAAUAAAGCUUUUCUCAUCUUUAUUUCAUUUUAGAUGUCAUUUAUCCCAAGUGUGCAGCCUUUCCUUGCAAUAGCAUAUCGGGUUUGGGUUCUUGAUAAAUUAUUUGUGUGCGCUUAGAAGUUGCUGAUGGAAUGUAUUUUUUAUUGGGGUUUUGCAAAGGCUAUAUCAUCUUUAGAUCAGGUUGUGAAUAUCUUUUGGAAAUCAGCAGACUCAACAUGCCUGCAUUGUAUUGCAAGGUACAUUCCCACUUUGUAUGUAGAUUUUAAUUAGAUGAACAAAAACUACUGGAAUUCAUUCAGAUUCUGUCAAUAAAUAAAUGAUUAUACAAACUCAUUUAAUUUUCAUUCUCAACAUUUUUUUAUUUUUUUUAGCUAAAGUUGUCCAUCGGAAGGUUCUGAAGUUUUGGUUUAUGGUAAAAUAAUUUAACUAAUUGUUUAAGAUAGCACUUAAUCCUUUGAAGUCAAGACUACAUUAAUGGCAUUGAUAAUUUUAUCACUUCUGCUGCUAAUUGUUUUACUUGCUGCAUUGUGAGUGAUUUACCUAAUGAGCAAUUCUCACAAGAGAUUUGAUUGCCUAAGAUCAGUUGUAGGGAAGAUGAUUUCUUUGAUUUGAUCAGGUGAUAGUACUUCUCUAUAGCUCUCCACCAUGUAGAAAUAGAAGGUUGAGCCUUAGAUUUUGAAGACAAUAAUGAGACAAUAAACUUAGAUAUUAUGGCUUUCUAGAAUGGCUUGAAAUUUCCAUACCAGAUGAGAUUAAUGGUGAUCUUGCCAUAAGUAUUUCAAAAGCAUAGGAUCUUGAUUUCCCAAUAUUGUUGCUGUAGAAGCAAAACUGAUCAACAAAAAUACAGAUAUCAAGAUCAUAUUGAUGGAUAAACUGGUUGCCAUUUUCAAUUGGGAUUUCAUAUGAACAAAAAAGUAUAAGAAAAUGAGUAUUCCUUUGUUUUCGUGAGAAUUUCAUGGUGGAAAUGCUGAUUUCAGGCGGUUCUUUAUAUAGGGAUCGGAUAAGAAUAGAGGAUGGUGAACAAUGCAAGAUGCAUUAUUAAGAAAGACACAUUUCUAGAAGUUAAAAUUAUGUUAAACAUUGAAAGAAAAACAUAAUAUAUGUUGAACAUAAAGUGUGUUAAGUCAUUAAUUUAUCCCACUUGCCAAUUUUGUUAUGCAAUUUUUGAGAAUCAUCAGCUAGUGAACUUUUUGUCGAAAGUUUAUGAAUCUUCAAACCAGCACCUGACUGUGCAUAGGGUCCCAUUUUAUUUUUUAGUUGGUGAAAUCAACAACUGCAGUGCGCGCAAUCUCUACUGAGUAAGAUUUUUGAAACAAAUUCGUUUAGCCAGGAUAAUUGCUUCUUUGGUUGUUCUGGUGAUUUUUAUUGUUUCAUCUGUUUCAGAGUUUGUUAAAGUGGUCAUCUCUCAAUGCUUCUUAAUGUUCCUACAUUUAAAAACUUAGUGCUCAUCAUUUAGAAGAUGAAUUCUAUGUAUUUUUGAAUCAUUAAUUGAUGAAAGGAUUUUCAAUUCAUGGGUUUUAAUGGUUAUCUUUUGUUACAUUUUUACAUGAUGAAAGAUAGUAUAGAAAUUUUCGUCAAGUGAAAUUUAAGUAUAUCAAUAGAGACAUAACAUAAUGACUACUAUUUGUUUUGUUCACAGCAUGUUUACGAUUUUGAUUCUUCUCUAUGGUUUGAUGAUCAGAAUACCAUAGAUAUUAGAACUUGCAUAUUUAUAAAAAAAAUUAAAAAAUAAAUAAAUCAAAUAGGACUUGAAAAUCCUGAUUUAGUUAAGCAUCAUGAGCACAUGAAUAAAUUAGAUAUUUAAUCUGAUUUUGUGUGUAGGUUAAGGAAAUAAAGGACACAUUCUACAUUACCUUUGCAUAUGACACUUGUGAUGAACUAAAGAUUUUGAUGAAUAAGGUUCUUAGAAACCUCCUCAGGGUUAGGUACUGAGAUGAGGUGUUUGUUCUGUUCAUCAAUGUGCAGAUGCCAAGUAUGGGGAGCGUGUACACAUUCUUCUCGUGCAUGAUACCAUUGAAGGGGUUACUGAAACUUGUUUAAUGCUUACUUGAAUGUAAGUUUCUAAAACCUCUAAACUUGUGUUACUUUUUAGAGUCGUUUAGUCUAAUUAAAUAUUUGUGUUUUUUCCUUUGUGAUACUAUAGAUCCUUGUCAUUUUGUGAUGAAUCUAAAAUUGAAAUGUUGGUUCUUGUUUAUUGUUCAAUUUUGCGUGCAUCUCUGAGUCUUUAAUGAAUUUAGUCUAUGUAGAGCGGAAUCGUAAUGGAAUUUUUUUUUUCCCAUUCAAUUAUGAGAGUUUCUAGAAACGAUUAUUAGAGUUUGAAUGCAUGUUAUUUUACAUGCAUAAAUUGUUAUAUAAUUUUCAAUUUCUUGUAAAGGUCCACCCACCCUGAUUUCUCUUGUUUGUUAGCACUACUGAUAGUUCCAUCUUAAGUUGUCUUGUUUGGACGAAUACUUGUAAUAUUUAUUAUCUCGCUAUGAUUGUGUCAUGUUGUUUAUCUGGUUCUACACUGGGCUACAAGACCAAGAGGAGGAAUCAAUGAAUGGUUACACUGGCUUCCUGUUUUCGUCCUUAAAAAGUUUUGUUACAUUAUUAGCUGAUUUAUAUUUAUUCCCGAAUUUUGAUGGCUAUAAGUGAAAAGAAAUUGGUGCCUUUGCCUAUGGAGAAUGAUCAUUCUGUAGGACUGUCAUCCAUAUUGGAAGCUGAUGUGAAAAAUAUUGUAAGCUAGGCUAAAGAAACUUCUGUGAAGUCAGUCUGUUCUUAAUUCUAUCACACACAAAAAUUAAGGGAAAGUCCAUCUUAGUAUAGCAAUAGCAAAUAUGGAGUUGAAGAUAUAAUUCACGAGAAUCAAUCACAUUUAAUGCACUAACAUUACCUUCAAAAUAACUCAAUCCGUACAUUGCACGGCAAAGACUAGUUCGAUUAAAAGGGUGAUGGACUUGGAGGGCAUUGAGGAGCUUGUCGCAUUGUAGGAGAAGGCCAAGGAUGUGGAAUCAUCUUUGGUUGAUGUGUUCUGGAGGUGUUCUUCCUCUUGUUCUCGGAAAUUGAUAAAGUCAUUGGCCGGAAAAAAGUGAGAUUGGCGUGCUUGAAUGUUAAGGCGGCCAAAGCCAUAUCAACGUAGCAUUUAAUGGAUAUAAUCGACAAGGACGAGAAAGAAGCAUCGCUAAAGGUGGUGGUUCAAACACAACUUAAUUGAAGGACAAUAAUGGGAUUAUUACAAAGUUGUUAGGUGUCAGCACUGUUUAUGUUGCCCAAUCGAAUGGUGGUUGGAUUUAUACGAUGACCAUUAUUUUGGCACAUUAGAAAGAUAAAAAAAAUUAUCGUUGUCAUUUAGCUUUAUUUUAAUGUGAAUAUUGCUGAUAUUUUUAUGGUUGAUGACAAGGAAAUAAUAUCAUAAAGUGAUUCAUCAAAUUUUCAGGUAUUUUUCAUAUUUUUUUAUUUGGUGAAGAGAUAAAAAGCAUGUGGCUUAUAGCCAUGGCUUCAUUUUAUUAUUGUCAACUUCUUUGACCUACUUCUAUAUACAAUACUGGAAUCUUAAUUA